rnacentral:lncRNA from 1 species
UCUGCCUCAAAAGAAAAGAAAAAAAAAAUCACAUGAAUGCCAUUCCUUAGCUUUCCUAUUAGAUACAGUUGUAAUUUCUAAAAAAGAAUUAUGAUAUCUUUUGCGAGGACAUAAAAAUUCAGAGUGCAAGAAGAGGGGUCACGUUUUUAAAAUUAAGAACCAUUGAUAUAAGCAAUAUAAAUGGAAAAUUCAGAGGAGGAGAGAUUAAGGGAUUUUCAUAGAGGAGAAAGAUCAUAAAAGGCUUAAUCCCUGACCAGGAGGAUUUUAAUUCUUUAGCUAAUUUAUUUAUGGCCUCCUGUGAUCAUAGUUUCAGUUGGUUUCAUAAGGAAGACCUUACUUCUCCCAAAUGUAAUCCCAGUAGUGUAAUUAUAGUCACACAUCACUUAACAAUGGGGCUAUGUUCUGAGCAAUGCAUCGUUUGGUGAUUUCAUCAUUGUUCGAUCAUAGAGGUACUUACACACACCUAGUUGGUAUAGCCUCCUGCACACCUAGGCUAGAUGGUAUAACCUAUUGCUCCUAGUCUACAAACCUGUACAGCAUGUUCCUGUACUGAACACUGUAGGCAACUGUAAUACAAUGGUGAGUAUUUGUAUAUCUAAACAUAGAAAAAGUAUAGUAAAUAUAUGGUAUAAAAGAUAAAAAAUGGUUCACCUGUAUAGGGCACUUACCACAAAUGGAGCUUGCAAAACUGGAAGUUGCUCUGGGUGAGUCAGUGAGUGGUGAGUGGAUGUGAAGGCACAGGGCAUGACUGUAUACUACAGUAGACUUUAUAAACACUGUACACAGGCUACAUUAAAUUUAUGUUAAA